UACGGAGGGUGCAAGCGUUAUCCGGAUUUACUGGGUUUAAAGGGUGCGUAGGUGGGUCUGUAAGUCAGUGGUGAAAUCUCCGAGCUUAACUCGGAAACUGCCAUCGAUACUAUAGGUCUUGAAUUAUCUGGAGGUGAGCGGAAUAUGUCAUGUAGCGGUGAAAUGCUUGGAUAUGACAUAGAACACCAAUUGCGAAGGCAGCUCACUACGGAUAUAUUGACACUGAGGCACGAAAGCGUGGGGAUCAAACAGG
rnacentral:rRNA from 1 species